UCGCGUUUUGCGGCCUGGGAGCCGCCGCUUGGCCUGGCGGGGUUGGGGCGCAGGGACUGGCUACUUGCCCCUGUUUGUAGAAGUCGCUGCCUGUACUUUCUGUCAGCCAAGUCGUGACUUUCCUGUCACGAAAACUUCAUUAGUUAUUUCGGCACCCUCCUAUCUUCGCUUGUACAUAUUAGCCAGCUCUUUACUGAUCUCGGUGUUUAUCCAAUUAGUUGUGACAUACAGAUCCUUUCUCCUGCACCGUCUUGUUUACAAACCUAAUUUAAACACAGUGCUUGUUAAAACAGGCCUUCGCAGACUAGGACAGAAAGAUUUGAAAUAGAUUUUGUGAGCAACAAACUGCUAUUACCGAACAGUUUUCAGAGAGACCAAAUUCUCACUAAGUUAUUUUUGCUGGAAUUCACUGUGGGGAUUCACUGUGCUGGAUCUAGCUUGAGCGUGUGCUGCAUCGCUGGUGGUCUUCUGUCUUCAAGAGCUUAAAGUCAGAGCUGCUGCUGCUGGUCUAAGUCGUCGCAAAUGCAGUGUCUCCAGAUGAAUGCAAAGAUUGCGUUCCACCACCUCCGCUGGCGCAUCGGUAGUGUUUUAGACUGUUUCUGCUGGAAACACCUGCCCCGUCAUCUUGCUGUGACUUCAGAUACAGGAUGAUACGUACGUUUUUAAUGGAAGUAAGCGGCAGACCGCGACUUUCUUGCUGGCCUUGAAGAUGCAAGUUGAAUCUUUGGUCCUGAGGAUGCUUGUCUUGGACAACCUGGUGCAGUCCAAAGACCCUGAGCCGGCUUCACCGAGAUGCUUCAGGAUGCUGAGGUGCUCCAUUGCUCUGUGGCGUUCAGGAGCUUCACUCACCAGCUCAGUUUUCACGGGCCUGUUAAAUGCCUGAGACCUGAUUAAGGGGCAAAACAUGAACUCGAGACUCCUCAUAAGAUUUCAGCUCCAGGAUAGAGCAGAUAUCAUACAAAAAAGCUAGUAAUGGGGCAGAGUCUGGAGAGCAAGAUUAUCUCCCUGAGCCUGAUG